UGAGGAACAUGACCUUCGGCGGGGGAUAGCCGGCCCAACGGCCGGGUAAUACCGCGUACGACCACUCGGGGACAUCCCUAGGUGGUGAAAGCAGCAAUGCGCCGAUGGAGUGCCUCGCGGCCUAUCAGCUAGUUGGUGAGGUAACGGCUCACCAAGGCGACGACGGGUAGCUGGUCUGAGAGGAUGGCCAGCCACAGUUGGGACUGAGACACGGCCCAGACCUCCGUACGGGAGCAG
rnacentral:rRNA from 1 species